GGGAUAACGCCUGAAUUGGCGGUCGUGAAACUCGCUGUGGUGGAAUCUCUUCUUCCAAGUUUUACGCUCCAACCAGGGCCGUCCAACUAGUCACGAGCAAUGAUAGCGAGAAUGUCUGCGCAUGAGACGACGCCUGGGCAUAGUCUCUCAACCCUCGACUUGAUUUUGUCAACAACGUCAAACCCCCUCACGGAGUUAUUGUUUGGGCCUGCCGUUUUCUCUCCCAUAGAUGAGGAAGUGUCGUCCAACAAUAUUGAUCCGUCACACCCCUGUAGACCAUGCAUGCAUUUUGUAAAUUGUUUAGAGUAAUUCAUGGAACAUACCAACCAUGCUUCCUUGGACCUUGUGUCAUUA